rnacentral:rRNA from 1 species
GCUCCCUGAUGUUAGCGGCGGACGGGUGAGUAACACGUGGGUAACCUGCCUGUAAGACUGGGAUAACUCCGGGAAACCGGGGCUAAUACCGGAUGCUUGUUUGAACCGCAUGGUUCAAACAUAAAAGGUGGCUUCGGCUACCACUUACAGAUGGACCCGCGGCGCAUUAGCUAGUUGGUGAGGUAACGGCUCACCAAGGCAACGAUGCGUAGCCGACCUGAGAGGGUGAUCGGCCACACUGGGACUGAGACACGGCCCAGACUCCUACGGGAGGCAGCAGUAGGGAAUCUUCCGCAAUGGACGAAAGUCUGACGGAGCAACGCCGCGUGAGUGAUGAAGGUUUUCGGAUCGUAAAGCUCUGUUGUUAGGGAAGAACAAGUACCGUUCGAAUAGGGCGGUACCUUGACGGUACCUAACCAGAAAGCCACGGCUAACUACGUGCCAGCAGCCGCGGUAAUACGUAGGUGGCAAGCGUUGUCCGGAAUUAUUGGGCGUAAAGGGCUCGCAGGCGGUUUCUUAAGUCUGAUGUGAAAGCCCCCGGCUCAACCGG